GAUGAAGAACGUAGCGAAAUGCGAUAAGUAAUGUGAAUUGCAGAAUUCAGUGAAUCAUCGAAUCUUUGAACGCACAUUGCGCCCCCUGGCAUUCCGGGGGGCAUGCCUGUUCGAGCUUCAUUACAACCCUCAAGCUCUGCUUGGUAUUGGGCUCUGCUGGGACCGGCAGGCCUUAAAAUCAGUGGCGGCGCCACUCGGCUUCAAGCGUAGUAAUUCUUCUCGCUUCGGAGACCCGGGUGCGUGCUAGCCAGCAACCCCCAACUUUCUUAGGUUGACCUCGGAUCAGGUAGGGAUACCCGCUGAACUUAAGCAUAUCAAUAAGCGGAGGA
rnacentral:misc_RNA from 1 species